GAUGAACGCUAGCGGCAGGCUUAAUACAUGCAAGUCGAGGGGCAGCGCAGUGUAGCAAUACAUGGGCGGCGACCGGCAAACGGGUGCGGAACACGUACGCAACUUACCCUUGUCUGGGGCAUAGCCCACCGAAAGGUGGAUUAACUCCCCAUAAGAUAGUGGUGUGGCAUCACACAGCUAUUAAAACUGAGGUGGACAAGGAUGGGCGUGCGGCUGAUUAGGUAGUUGGUGUGGGUAACGGCCCACCAAGCCUGCGAUCAGUAACUGGUGUGGGAGCACGACCAGUCACACGGGCACUGAGACACGGGCCCGACUCCUACAGGAGGCAGCAGUAAGGAAUAUUGGUCAAUGGGCGAAAGCCUGAACCAGCCAUGCCGCGUGGAGGAUGAAGGCCCUCUGGGUUGUAAACUUCUUUUACAGGGGACGAAACACUUCUACUCUUAGAGGCUUGACGGUACCUUGGGAAUAAGCACCGGCUAACUCCGUGCCAGCCGCCGCAGUAAGAC
rnacentral:rRNA from 1 species